GCCAAAGGAAGCGUUGGCUCAGCGACGAUUUGCAUAAUCCCGUGCUAUUGGCUGGGAGGGCGGCGCGGCAGCCAAUGACCUGCAGCGGUGUUGACAGCGCGGCGUGGGUGAUGUAAUGGAAUCCUGGCUGGCCCCGCGCGCUCCCGGCGGACUGCGCGGUGACGUAGCGGCUUCCCCGGCCGCACCCGGCGAGCAUGGCCUGGCGCGGGCGGCUGGGGCAUGGCCCUACCCGGGCUCGGCGGUGCUGCUGCUACGGGGACCGCCGUGUUCCUUCCGGCCCGAUGUUCCGGUGGCGGGUCCCGGGGAGGAGGGCUCGGGCCAGAUCCGGUCUCGGGCCGAGGUGACAGAAAUCUGGAAUCUGACACCGGAGGAUGACCGAGCCCGGGCUCCCGGGGUAGUGCAAUUACGGACCUCUCACGUCGUCAGGACGCAGCUCUGCAACCUUUGCUUUUGUUGACAGGAGGGAGUGCGAUUUUGUAACUCUAAAGUUGCAGAGGGUUUUGAUGUGUUUUUAAUCAAGAGCCCUCCUGGCUUUGAUUUGUGGGAAAUCUUGCAUGAACUUCCUCCGUUUCCGGCCUGGUGACCUGGGCCACUUUCUCAUGUUGGCCCGGAUGCCCGGAUGAUCCUCAAUGGCAAAAAAAAAAAAAAAAAAAAAAAAAGGACAACAAAUGUGGAAAUACUUGAUGAAGCGCCUGGAAGGGAAGAGGCUCUUUGCUUCUACCCUAUUCCAGUGGCUUUUUGUUUGUUUGGGAUUUUUUUUUUUGUCCCCCAAGACAGGGUUUCUCUCUGUAGCCCUGGCUGUCCUGGAACUUACUCUGUAGACCAGUCUGGCCUUUUACUCACAGAGACCCUUCUGCCAGUGGUCUUCUUGAACUCUGGGAUAGCCCCGGGGAAACCCUGUCUAGGUGUCCCCAUUUUUUAUUUUUUGUUCUUGAAUGUAUGCUUAAAGCUAGGGAGAGGUGGGGGCACCCCAGCCAAGUAGUUCUUGAUCCUAAGAACCAGGAAGGGACCUAUGAAGGGGAUUCCCCUUUCCAGUCCCGGGCGAAUUCUGGGUGAGACCUGGGCAGGGGAGUCCCUUCUGGGCCCAGCAGGUUAGUUAACCCCACCAUAUCCUCUCACCCAGGCAGGGAGGAAGUGAGGUGAGGACUCUCCCCAGCUAUGGGUGCCUGAAUCCAGGCCACCAAAUGUGGUCAGUGGCCUUGGGCCUUGUGGCUCACCAUGGCUUAUUGUGACCUUCAUACCUUGACAUUUGAGACAGCCUAACCUCCAUGGGAUGUUCUUUCUCCAUUUCUAGGUCUGUCUUUUUCAUGGUGUACCCCACAUCCUCUUCCUCCAGGGUGGCCCUGGGAUUGACCCUCCACACACCCCUCCUUAGCACAUGUCAGCUGGAGGUCUCUUGCUCUUCUGGCAGCUCUGUACAGACAACCACCACGGCAGAGUCAGCUCUUUGCGGCGGGACUUCGUCUUCCUGUCUUAGGAACUCUCCAGAAUGUGGGUCAGUGCUGAACCACCAAAUAAACACCAGCUGGGCAAAGCUAGGCCAAGCACUUUGCAGGGACAGCUCCAAGACAAGAAUCCUAGCCCUGGCACUCCCUCAAGUCUCCCUGAGUGGAACGGCAGAUCUGCCAUUGCCUGCUCCCCGCUGCUGGGUGCUGUAUGUCUGCUAUCAAAGACACUGUCUUCAUGAUGGUGCCCGGAAACAGGUAUGCUGCCAUGCUUGUGCCUCCAAGGAGGAAACAGGAGCUCAGAGCAGGCCAGUCACUGCCUUGAGAUCCCACAUCUGGAGAAAGCGAGAAGCUGGUAGGCCAGAGAGGCUGACUUCUGGGGAAGAACAAGGAGAACUAAGUCUGGGUGCUCUCCAUGUCCGGGGGAUGCCCUCUGUGUCCAGGGGUGCCCUCUGUGUCCAGGGUGUGCCCUCGGUGUCCAGGGGUGCUCUCCAUGUCCAGGGGGUGCCCUCUGUGUCCAGGGGUGCCCUCUGUGCCCCCCAUUCUUCCACAGCUACUUAGAUCUCUCAGUGACCCGUGUCCACCACAUGCCACUUGGACACAGCCCCCCUCUACUGUCUCAGCCAGUCUCUUCAAGCCAUCCAAGAGUGUUAGCACUUCACAUUUUGCUGUCUGCUUUAUUUUAAUAGAUAAUUGAGGCAGGUUGGGGUAAGAGUAUUUAUAGAGAGACCUCUGUGGGCUGGAAGCCUCCAUGGAAAAACUGCUAACAGCAUUUUUUUCCAUUCCUGUCUAAAUAAAUGUAUUUCUCCUACACUGGCAAAUAUUUUAGAAUGUAUUUUCAAAAAGACUUGUGGAAAAAUAAAAAGAGGGAGCAGGGCAGUGCUCUCUUUCCAAAGUCCAUUGGAAAGGAGCUGCUAAGGCGAGGGGGGCAGCCUGAGGCUCCCUCACUCCUAGUCACUGGCGGGGAGAAGCCAGCCUGAGGCCCCCUCCCUCCUCACCACUGUCUUGUUCUUUUGCAAAUGGAUCUCCUGUUGACUAUGGGAAAAGCAGAGCUGACUCUGGAAUUUUGAGAUAAACCAGAGAGGUUCCAGGGUUGGCUGUGAGGCAGGCCAGGAAGGGGCGCUGGGGUUACCAGAGAGCAGGGCAGGUCCAGAGAAGGACUUCUGGGGGGUGGGAGAAGAAUGUGACCCCGCAGUGAUUCCUCUGGAUGCAGAAGGGAUUCUUGGCCACGUGGGUCCUGGCUAGCUGCUGGUGGAAGAGGCACAGAGCAGGAUCCUUGUGGAUGGAUUCUCACUCCCUGUCUCCUUCCCGUCAAGCAGGGUAGGACAGAGACACAAAACCACCCCUCAGCUAUCCUUGGAUUGAAAUGUUUCAUCUUGCAGAGUCGGAUCAUUAAGUAGGAAGGAAACCAACUCAAAAUAGCUUCAGGAAAUCCCUGAAACUGACCAGAUUCACUAGGCCCCCUCCCUUCCAGAGUAAAGAUUAAAGCUGAGAGUCCCUCUCAGAGGAAGUGAAGCUGAGCUCCCAAGAUGAGUUUCCCACAAGCGGAGGUGUCUGGAAGAAGCAGAGACCAGCCAAGGCCGCCUGGAAGAGGUUUAGACUAGCUGAGGCCCCUGGGAAGGACGCUCUCCAACCUGUGGAGCUAUUUGCAGGCUGUGCUGUGUGCUCCAGGUUCCCAGCUUUGGGAGCUGGCAUCCCUGCUAGGGUAGGCCUUGGUGACACAGCUGUCUCUGAAUUAUUUCUACUCCUGUACGUGAGCCCACAUCCACACUCCUGUAUGUGACCCCACAUCCACACUCCUGUACAUGACCCCACAUCCACACUCCUGUAAGUGACCCCACAUCCACACUCCUGUACAUGACCCCACAUCCACACUCCUGUAUGUGACCCCACAUCCACACUCCUGUAAGUGACCCCACAUCCACACUCCUGUAUGUGACCCCACAUCCACACUCCUGUAAGUGACCCCACAUCCACACUCCUGUAUGUGACCCCACAUCCACGCUCCUGUAAGUGACCCCACAUCCACGCUCCUGUGACCCCACAUCCACGCUCCUGUACGUGAGCCCACAUCCACACUCCUGUAAGUUACCCCACAUCCACACUCCUGUAUGUGACCCCAAUAAAACUCAUUGGUUUGCCAA